UUUUAUAGAUGAGCAAAGAAAGUGGUUUCUUGAGAUGGAAUCUACUCCUGGUGAAGAUGCUGUGAA
rnacentral:pre_miRNA from 1 species